rnacentral:rRNA from 1 species
GAUGAACGCUAGCUACAGGCUUAACACAUGCAAGUCGAGGGGCAUCAUGAGAGUAGCUUGCUACUUUUGAUGGCGACCGGCGAAUGGGUGAGUAACGCGUAUCCAACCUGCCGCAGACCCGGGAAUAGCCCUUGGAAAUGAGGAUUAAGUCCCGAUAUGCACAUUAGCCGCAUGGUUUAUGUGUGAAACCAGGUAUGCGAUGGGGAUGCGUCCGAUUAGCUUGCCGGCGGGGUAACGGCCCACCAAGUCAACGAUCAGUAGCCGACCUGAGAGGGUAAUCGGCCACAUUGGAACUGAGACACGGUCCAAACUCC